rnacentral:rRNA from 1 species
GAAAUUAAGUGGAUUAGUGGCGAACGGGUGAGUAACACGUGAGUAACCUGCCUUACACAAGGGGAUAGCCUUUGGAAACGAAGAAUAAUACCCUAUAAAGUCAAUUUAUCGCAUGAUAGAGUGACCAAAGAUUUAUCGGUGUAAGAUGGACUUGCGUCUGAUUAGCUAGUUGGUGAGAUAAAAGCCCACCAAGGCGACGAUCAGUAGCCGGCUUGAGAGAGUGUACGGCCACAUUGGGACUGAGACACGGCCCAAACUCCUACGGGAGGCAGCAGUGGGGAAUUUUGCACAAUGGGGGAAACCCUGAUGCAGCGACGCCGCGUGAUUUAGAAGGCCUUCGGGUUGUAAAAAUCUUUUUUAUGGGAUGAAAAUGACAGUACCAUAAGAAUAAGGUCCGGCUAAAUACGUGCCAGCAGCCGCGGUAAUACGUAUGGAUCGAGCGUUGUCCGGAAUCAUUGGGCGUAAAGGGUACGUAGGCGGCCUAGUAAGUUAGAAGUGAAAUAAUAUAGCUCAACUAUAUAAAGCUUUUAAAACUGUUAGGCUUGAGAGAUGAAAGGGAAAGUGGAAUUCCUAGUGUAGCGGUGAAAUGCGCAGAUAUUAGGAAGAAUACCGG